rnacentral:misc_RNA from 1 species
UAAUAAGUGUUUUAUGGCACUUUUUAAAUCCAUAUCCACCUUGUGUGCAAUGUCAGUCGAUCUUCUUCAUGGAGAUCGACCAAACAUCAACCUUUAUCUUUUAACUCUUUGUCUGAAAAAUAUUAUGAAUAAACAGUUCAAAAUA